AGGGUUAAAAUCACUGUCCAAAACCUUUGUAGGAACUCUUUUCCAAACUUUUGGAGUCAGUUAGACCAAAAAAAAAUGAAAAAUGAAAUAAAAAAUAUUUGGGGUGUUCGGGCUUCCUGAAGGUAAUACCCGGGUAUUAGGUUAUGGGGCUUAGGAAAUGUUUAAGGUUUUUGGCGUUAGGGUUAAAAUCACUGUCCAAAAACCUUUGUAGGAACUCUUUUCCAACCUUUUGGAGUUAGGUUGACCAAAAAAAAGAAAGAAGAAAAAAAAAUAUUUGGGGUGUUCGGGCUUCCUGAAGGGAAUACCCGGGUAUUAGGUUUUGGGGCUAGGGUAAGGUUUGAGGUUUUUGGCAUUUGGGUUAAAAUCACUGUCCAAAACCUUUUUAGGAACACCUUUCAGACCUUUUGGAGUUUGUACACCGAAAAAAAAAAAUGUAAAAUGAAAAAAAAAUAUUUGUGGUGUUCGGGCUUCCUGAAGGUAAUACCCGGGUAUCAGGUUAUGGGGCUAUGGUAAGGUUUAAGGUUUUUGGCGUUACGGUUAAAAUCACUGUCCAAAACCUUUGUAGGAACUGUAUCUAAACUUUUGGAGUCAGUUAGACCCAAAAAAAAGAGAAAUGAAAAAAAAAUAUUUGGGGUUUUCAGGCUUCCUGGAGGUAAUACCCUAAUAUUAGGUUUUGGGGCUAGGGUAAGGUUUGAGGUUUUUGGCGUUAGGGUUAAAAUCACUGUCCAAAACCUUUUUAGGAACAUGUUUCAGACCUUUUGGAGUUGGUUACAUACAAAAAAAAUGUAAAAUGAAAAAAAAAAUAUUUGGGGUGUUCGGGCUUUCUGAAGGUAAUACCCGGGUAUCAGGUUAUGGGGCUAUGGAAAGGUUUAAGGUUUUUGACGUUAGGGUGAAAAUAACUUUCCAAAACCUUUGUAGGAACUCUUUUCCAACCUUAUGGAGUUCGUUAGACCAAAAAAAAAGAAAAAUGAAAAAAAAAUAUUUGGGGUGUUCAGGCUUCCUGAAGGUAAUACCCGGGUAUUAGGUUAUGGGGCUUUGGAAAGUUUUAGGGUUUUUGGCAUCAGGGUUAAAAUCACUGUCCAAAAACCUUUGUAGGAACUCUUUUCCAACCUUUUGGAGUUAGUUAGACCAAAAAAAAAAGAAAAAAGGAAUAAAAAAUAUUUGGGGUGUUCGGGCUUCCUGAAGGUAAUACCCGGGUAUUAGGUUUUGGGGCUAGGGUAAGGUUUGAGGUUUUUGGCAUUAGGGUUAAAAUCACUGUCCAAAACCUUUUUAGGAACACGUUUCAGACCUUUUGGAGUUUGUACACCGAAGAAAAAAUGUAAAAUUAAAAAAAAAUAUUUGGAGUGUUCGGGCUUCCUGAAGGUAAUACCCGGGUAUCAGGUUAUGGGGCUAUGGUAAGGUUUAAGGUUUUUGGCGUUACGGUUAAAAUCACUGUCCAAAACCUUUGUAGGAACUGUUUCUAAACUUUUGGAGUCAGUUAGACCCAAAAAAAAGAGAAAUGAAAAAAAAAUAUUUGGGGUUUUCAGGCUUCCUGGAGGUAAUACCCUAAUAUUAGGUUUUGGGGCUAGGGUAAGGUUUGAGGUUUUUGGCGUUAGGGUUAAAAUCACUGUCCAAAACCUUUUUAGGAACAUGUUUCAGACCUUUUGGAGUUGGUUACAUACAAAAAAAAUGUAAAAUGAAAAAAAAAAUAUUUGGGGUGUUCGGGCUUCCUGAAGGUAAUACCCGGGUAUUAGGUUAUGGGGCUAUGGUAAGGUUUAAGGUUUUAGACGUUAGGGUGAAAAUCACUGUCCAAAACCUUUGUAGGAACUCUUUUCCAACCUUAUGGAGUUCGUUAGACCAAAAAAAAAAGAAAAAUGAAAAAAAAAUAUUUGGGGUGUUUAUGCUUCCUGAAGGUAAUACCCGGGUAUUAGGUUAUGGGGCUUAGGAAAUGUUAAAGGUUUUUGGCAUUAGGGUUAAAAUCACUGUCCAAAAACCUUUGUAGGAACUCUUUUCCAACCUUUUGGAGUUAGGUUGACCAAAAAAAAAAAGAAAAUAGAAAAAAAAAUAUUUGGGGUGUUCGGGCUUCCUGAAGGUAAUACCCGGGUAUUAGGUUUUGGUGCUAGGGUAAGGUUUGAGGUUUUUGGCAUUAGGGUUAAAAUCACUGUCCAAAACCUUUUUAGGAACACCUUUCAGACCUUUUGGAGUUUGUACCAAAAAAAAAUGUAAAAUGAAAAAAAAAUAUUUGGGGUGUUCGGGCUUCCUGAAGGUAAUACCCGGGUAUCAGGUUAUGGGGCUAUGGUAAGGUUUAAGGUUUUUGGCGUUAGGGUUAAAAUCACUGUCCAAAACCUUUGUAGGAACUCUUUUCCAAACACGGAGUCAGUUAGACCAAAAAAAAAUGAAAAAUGAAAUAAAAAAUAUUUGGGGUGUUCAGGCUUCCUGAAGGUAAUACCCGGGUAUUAGGUUUUGGGGCUUAGGAAAUGUUUAAGGUUUUUGGAGUUAGGGUUAAAAUCACUGUCCAAAAACCUUUGUAGGAACUCUUUUCCAACCUUUUGGAGUUAGGUUGACCAAAAAAAAAAAGAAAAAAGAAAAAAAAUGUAUUUGGGGUGUUCGGGCUUCCUGAAGGUAAUACCCGGGUAUUAGGUUAUGGGGCUUUGGAAAGUUUUAGGGUUUUUGGCAUCAGGGUUAAAAUCACUGUCCAAAAACCUUUGUAGGAACUCUUUUCCAACCUUUUGGAGUUAGUUAGACCAAAAAAAAAAGAAAAAAGGAAUAAAAAAUAUUUGGGGUGUUCGGGCUUCCUGAAGGUAAUACCCGGGUAUUAGGUUUUGGGGCUAGGGUAAGGUUUGAGGUUUUUGGCAUUAGGGUUAAAAUCACUGUCCAAAACCUUUUUAGGAACACGUUUCAGACCUUUUGGAGUUUGUACACCGAAAAAAAAAUGUAAAAUUAAAAAAAAAUAUUUGGGGUGUUCGGGCUUCCUGAAGGUAAUACCCGGGUAUCAGGUUAUGGGGCUAUGGUAAGGUUUAAGGUUUUUGGCGUUACGGUUAAAAUCACUGUCCAAAACCUUUGUAGGAACUGUUUCUAAACUUUUGGAGUCAGUUAGACCCAAAAAAAAAGAGAAAUGAAAAAAAAAUAUUUGGGGUUUUCAGGCUUCCUGGAGGUAAUACCCUAAUAUUAGGUUUUGGGGCUAGGGUAAGGUUUGAGGUUUUUGGCGUUAGGGUUAAAAUCACUGUCCAAAACCUUUUUAGGAACAUGUUUCAGACCUUUUGGAGUUGGUUACAUACAAAAAAAAUGUAAAAUGAAAAAAAAAAUAUUUGGGGUGUUCGGGCUUCCUGAAGGUAAUACCCGGGUAUUAGGUUAUGGGGCUAUGGUAAGGUUUAAGGUUUUUGACGUUAGGGUGAAAAUAACUUUCCAAAACCUUUGUAGGAACUCUUUUCCAACCUUAUGGAGUUCGUUAGACCAAAAAAAAAGAAAAAUGAAAAAAAAAUAUUUGGGGUGUUCGGGCUUCCUGAAGGUAAUACCCGGGUAUUAGGUUUUGGGGCUUAGGAAAUGUUUAAGGUUUUUGGCGUUAGGGUUAAAAUCACUGUCCAAAAACCUUUGUAGGAACUCUUUUCCAACCUUUUGGAGUUAGGUUGACCAAAAAAAAAAGAAAAAAGAAAAAAAAUGUAUUUGGGGUGUUCGGGCUUCCUGAAGGUAAUACCCGGGUAUUAGGUUAUGGGGCUUUGGAAAGUUUUAGGGUUUUUGGCAUCAGGGUUAAAAUCACUGUCCAAAAACCUUUGUAGGAACUCUUUUCCAACCUUUUGGAGUUAGUUUGACCAAAAAAAAAAGAAAAAAGGAAUAAAAAAUAUUUGGGGUGUUCGGGCUUCCUGAAGGUAAUACCCGGGUAUUAGGUUUUGGGGCUAGGGUAAGGUUUGAGGUUUUUGGCAUUAGGGUUAAAAUCACUGUCCAAAACCUUUUUAGGAACACGUUUCAGACCUUUUGGAGUUGGUUACAAAAAAAAAUGUAAAAUGAAAAAAAAAUAUUUGGGGUGUUCGGGCUUCCUGAAGGUAAUACCCGGGUAUUAGGUUAUGGGGCUAUGGUAAGGUUUAAGGUUUUUGACGUUAGGGUGAAAAUAACUUUCCAAAACCUUUGUAGGAACUCUUUUCCAACCUUAUGGAGUUCGUUAGACCAAAAAAAAAAGUAAAAUGAAAAAAAUAUUUGGGGUGUUCGGGCUUCCUGAAGGUAAUACCCGGGUAUUAGGUUAUGGGGCUUAGGAAAUGUUUAAGGUUUUUGGCGUUAGGGUUAAAAUCACUGUCCAAAAACCUU
rnacentral:lncRNA from 1 species